GUGUCCGUAGCUCAGCUGGAUAGAGCAUCGGCCUUCUAAGCCGAGGGUCUGGGGUUCGAAUCCCCACGGGCACA
rfam:Firmicutes bacterium CAG:791 genomic scaffold, scf143